GCCAGCUUUCGAGUUCUCCUUAACUCUUCAUUAGGCAAGGUGUUAUACAAGAUGUUUCACCUCACCCCCUGCUUUGUGUGACUUCUUGCCUGAUGAAGAGUUCUGGAGAACUCAAAAGCUUGC